rfam:Gamma proteobacterium IMCC2047 ctg169, whole genome shotgun sequence.
CUAUGCCUCUGUAGAUAUGCACGGGGCGCAUAGCUUUAAAAUUAACGCAUAUUCGAUUGGAGAAUAGAAAAUGUCUUUAACUGCACAAGAGAAAGAAGCAAUUGUAAGUGAAUUCGGCCGUGGCGCU